UACGUAGGGGGCAAGCGUUGUCCGGAAUCAUUGGGCGUAAAGCGCGCGUAGGCGGCCCGAUCAGUCCGCUGUAAAAGUCCAGGGCUCAACCCUGGAAAGCCGGUGGAUACUGUCGGGCUAGAGUCCGGAAGAGGCGAGUGGAAUUCCUGGUGUAGCGGUGGAAUGCGCAGAUAUCAGGAAGAACACCCGUGGCGAAGGCGGCUCUCUGGGACGGUACUGACGCUGAGACGCGAAAGCGUGGGGAGCGAACAGG
rnacentral:rRNA from 1 species